rnacentral:rRNA from 1 species
GAACGCUGGCGGCGUGCCUAAUACCUGCAAGUCGAGCGAACGGACGAGAAGCUUGCUUCUCUGAUGUUAGCGGCGGACGGGUGAGUAACACGUGGAUAACCUACCUAUAAGACUGGGAUAACUUCGGGAAACCGUAGCUAAUACCGGAUAAUAUUUUGAACCGCAUGGUUCAAAAGUGAAAGACGGUCUUGCUGUCACUUAUAGAUGGAUCCGCGCUGCAUUAGCUAGUUGGUAAGGUAACGGCUUACCAAGGCAACGAUGCAUAGCCGACCUGAGAGGGUGAUCGGCCACACUGGAACUGAGACACGGUCCAGACUCCUACGGGAGGCAGCAGUAGGGAAUCUUCCGCAAUGGGCGAAAGCCUGACGGAGCAACGCCGCGUGAGUGAUGAAGGUCUUCGGAUCGUAAAACUCUGUUAUUAGGGAAGAACAUAUGUGUAAGUAACUGUGCACAUCUUGACGGUACCUAAUCAGAAAGCCACGGCUAACUACGUG